AAGUCGUAACAAGGUUUCCGUAGGUGAACCUGCGGAAGGAUCAUUACAGUUGGGGCCCCGCCCCGAUCAAGAUACCACCCCUUGCAUUUUGAGUACCUCUGUUUCCUCGGCGGGCCCGCCCGCCAACGGGGACCACAAAGAAACCUCGUGCAGUUGCAGUAAACGUCAAAACAAACAAAAAAUCAAAACUUUCAACAACGGAUCUCUUGGUUCUG
rnacentral:misc_RNA from 1 species